rnacentral:rRNA from 1 species
GACCACCCAGGGCCGGAAAGUUCUCCAAACUCGAUCAUUUAGAGGAAGUAAAAGUCGUAACAAGGUCUCCGUUGGUGAACCAGCGGAGGGAUCAUU